rnacentral:rRNA from 1 species
AUGGUUGAACUUAAUGAGGCCAGUCUCACGAACCUGAAAUUCCUUCUCCUAUGCUUUGAAGCGCUAUCGGGUCUUAAAAUUAACUUUUCAAAGAGCGAAGUAAUUGUGACUGGGGUACCCGACUCUGAAGCUCAGACAAUGGCGCAUCUUCUGAACUGCUCCCUUGGUUCUUACGCUUUCAAAUACCUGGGCCUCCCAAUCUCCCCUCUCAAGCUACUGGCAAAAGACUUUGCCCCGACAGUGACUAAAGUAGGGAACAGAGUCCUGCCGUGGAGAGGCCGGUAUAAUUCCCAGGCGGGCAAGGUUGACCUCACUAAUGCGUGCCUCUCCUCCCUUCCGAUGUUUCUAAUGGGCUUUUAUCUCCUGUCCGGAGGGACCCACGCUGGUUUCGACAAGCAUAGGGGUUCUUUCUACUGGAACUCCUCUGACAAUAAGCGCAAAUAUAGGAUGGUUAAGUGCGAUCUAAUAUGUAUGCCUAAGAACAUGGGGGGCUUAGGCAUUAUUAACACGAUGGUCAUGAACAAGUGCCUCAUGAUAAAAUGGUGGUGGAAAAUUAUGUUCCUCGAGGAGCGCCCCCUCUGGCUAUCUCUUCUUAAAGCUAAGUAUUUCCCCUCCUCGAGCACCAUGUUCGCCUCUUCCUCAGGUGGUUCUCAGUUUUGGCGUCAGCUUGUUAAAGUUCGCCCGAUAUUUCGGUCCCUCGUUAAGUUUGUAGUUAGGAAUGGUAAGUCCACUCGCUUUUGGUUAGAUUGGUGGGUUGGGGAUACCACUCUCGCGGUGGCCUACCCGACCCUGUUCUCGUAUUGCUCUGCUACCGAGAUCUCUAUCUCUGAGCUCUCGGCUCACAAUUGGGACCUUGACUUCCGGCGAACCCUUUCUCCUGUGGAGUUGGAUGAUUGGCAACGUCUUAUUGCCUGCAUCCCCUUGCUCUCGGAGGAAGAUGACUCGGUUGUCUGGCCUCACUCUUCUUUGGGGCGUUUCUCAGUUAAAUCCGCAUACGCCAAACUUAUCUUAGGUGCCCAUAAAGUGAAAUUCAAGGAUAUUUGGUCGGCACGUAUUCCUCCUAAGAUAAAAAUUUUCUUGUGGCAAGCUUUCCGUCGUAAACUCCCUGCGGCUAAUCAAAUUAGGUAG